UACGGAGGGUGCAAACGUUGCUCGGAAUCAUUGGGCGUAAAGCGCACGUAGGCGGCCUGUUAAGUCGGGUGUGAAAGCCCUGGGCUCAACCCAGGAAGUGCACUCGAAACUGGCGGGCUUGAAUAUGGAAGAGGGUCGCGGAAUUCCCGGUGUAGAGGUGAAAUUCGUAGAUAUCGGGAGGAACACCAGUGGCGAAGGCGGUUACCUGGAGCUUUGCUGACGCUGAUGCGCGAAAGCGUGGGGAGCGAUCCGG
rnacentral:rRNA from 1 species